rnacentral:rRNA from 1 species
AUGCACAUCAGUGGCUUCUUCGACUCAAAAGCAGUGAAAAAAGGAUCUCCCAUGGCUGAAGGAAAUGUGACCCAUAGGAACACAGAAAGGAGAAAUAGCCGACGUCGCAUGCAUAAGCUGGCAGAAGUUAUUCCUGAGGAGGGUGAAGCUGAGGAAGAUGCAGAUUCGGUUGUGCUGUUUCCUGCUCAUCAAGCUAAAUCCCAUUCACGAGUGGAGAAACAGCGUCCUGUUGUUAAAGAUGAUCGUAGUGGCAAUAACGAUACAGGCUUGCUGUCAAAAGUUACCCCUCAAGAAACUGGUCCUGAUGCAACUAGGCCAAGAAGGUCAAAGAUGGGAGAGGAUGUUCAUACUGAUGCUGGCGCUGCUGGGGAUUCUUCUGUUAGCAAAUCUGCUGCUGCAGUUGGUCAUAACUUGGUCCGUGAAGGGUCUGGAGUAAUCAACAGUACUGAAACCGAUCAAAAUUCAAACAUCAGUGUACGUCAAAGCGAGGAAUGCACAUUGAAUAAAGGAGAGGACUUUGCUAACAUCAGUAAACAGACCAGGAGAGUUCAUGACACUGCAAGUAAGGUGCCAACGCAAGUGGUUGGCAGUGACUCUAAAGUAUUCGGUAAUGAUAAAACUGAAAAUAGUUCACCUGCUAUCAUGGCUCGCUCCAGGCAAGUAACAUUCAACAUAAGAGAACACGAUCAUGCUGACGCCGCUGUACAUUCACCAAACACAAUUAAUCAGAAGAAUGUCGGCAAGGUAAAAGUGACAACAACCUCUGCAAGUGCAAGAACAAAUGCGACAACAAUGCCAGAAAUUCCAGCAAACAGAGAAGUAGCACCAAAAUCUGUUGGCACUAUCGAUAGCAGCUUAACCCUUGAAGUUCAUCACACAGUAAGUAUUACUAAAGAUUCUACUCGUACUGGUGUUGACAACAUUGGUGGUCAUAUGGAGGACAGGAGUAUCAGUUUGCCAGCCAAUCCAAAUCAUGAAGAAUCUAAAGCAUGCAGCGCUACUGAAACCACGUGCGAUUCAGAGCCUUGCAUGUUGCCUGCAAGUUUAGCCUGGCGCAAGCAACGGGGACUGAAGAAGCAAGAAGCCAGUUUCGCAGGCGCAGGCGGUGGCAUAGGCGCAUCCAUCAAGAAAAUUCCUCGCAUGGCAAACAAAACCUCGGAGAAAGUUACCUACAAAAACAAGGCUGGGCCAGUGGAACAUCCAUCUACUGGAGCAUCCAAGAACACCGAUCCACAUUCGAAGCCCGCGUGCACACCGUCUUGUACCAUCGGUAUGACUGAAGCAACCAUGGCAUACAGACACCACACCAGCAGCCACGCCGACGACGACAAUGCUCAUUUCUCCAUCGACAUCAAGGCCGACGACGACUCGCAUCAGGCACCAAAGGUGUACACCGCCAUUUGGGCAGACACCGACACGGACACCCUGCGAGCUCGGUUCCUCAGCUCGAUGCAGCACCACCACAGGAUGGCCUCCCGCCGUCGUCAUCGCCGCCAUAGGGCGAAGCACGGCUCUGGGAACACGUGGAGCAUCAGCCCGGUUUUGGUGGUCGUCCUCCUUGUCGUCUCUGUGGCGCAGCUUCUGUUCAUCAUCUGGAUGUACCGCAGGCUCCUGAACCAAAACCGAUCGUCCGGCGGCCAGACCACCCUGCAAUCGUUCCUCGUCAAGCCCAGGUGGAGGAGAAUCUUUUCCUCUUCCGAAAUUUGCUCCAUCUUGGAUCUCUAG